UAAGUCCAAACAACUGCUGAAAACCCCCUCCACAAAGUUGAAAUUUUCUUUACUAAUCCGUUCCAAUUUCAGAAUCUGAUACUUUUCGCCGCAGCCCUUAUGAAUGUUCGUUUGUGCUCAAAUUCGACAUUCAGGCUUAGUUUAAAUUAAUAAGAAGAGCGAAAUCUUAACUUUCCAGUUUGGACCAUUUUUGGUCACCGAAAGAUCUACCAACUAAAAUCUCUAGCAGAUAGCAGUCAGAUUUUAUUUUUCACUUUUCGGGUGUCGGAAUGACAUGAAACUUUAAAUCUAAUCUCAUAAAAAUAAUUUUGACAUAUUCUCAAAUUUUCAUAACUUUCUGACACUGUGAAUUUUCUGCUAAAAGAUCAGCCCCGUUUCUUACGAAAAAUUCUAAAUUUUCUGUUUCCAUUCCAAUUUCAGCACAAGUCAUUUCUGACUCAUAUUUCACUUCUUUAAGUCCAAUAAAAAUAGUAUCUUACACUAUUUUUAUUUAUACUUACUUUUAUAUUAAAAUUUGGUACAUUACAG
rnacentral:lncRNA from 1 species